rnacentral:lncRNA from 1 species
UUCUCCAGACCUAACUAAAGCACAUUUCUCCUACAUAAAAGAAAACUCGACUGUUAACUGACACAUUACAAUAAACAUGCUAAACUAAUCUAAAUUCAAUUUCAAGUACCAAUAAACAUUUAGUCAAGAACAUUAGAAAUUCCUCCCUUCCAUCUCUGUGACAUUGCUGUCAUUCAUUUACUGUCAUUUCAUUUGCUGUCAUUCAUUGCUGUUAGUGAAAUUCUGGAUUCAAAUAUAGGCUCAGCAGACUCCAUAUUCCAUGCUAAUAUAUUAUUCAUUUAUUCAUCAACAAAUAUUUAUUGAGUGUGGACCGUGUGGUUGGCCCUAGGAAUACAGCAGCAUCCUACUUAAAUAGGGCUUAUAUUCUGAAAAGGUAACAGUGAUUGUCAGCCCUUCUCUGCAGAGGUGCCUGCUGACAUCAUCAGCAUCCUUCAUGAUGGUGUCUUCUGAAGUAGCCAGUUCCACUUGUCUAUGGCUUAGAGGAUCCAUUCUGCUAGCAUCAAACUCUUCCAGGCCACUGUCUCUGUCCUUCUCUCUCUCACCCACUUCUCUGUUCAUCUCAGAAUACAA